UACGUAGGGCGCAAGCGUUAUCCGGAUUUAUUGGGCGUAAAGAGCUCGUAGGCGGUUUGUCGCGUCUGCUGUGAAAGCCCGGGGCUCAACUCCGGAUCUGCGGUGGGUACGGGCAGACUAGAGUGAGGUAGGGGAGACUGGAAUUCCUGGUGUAGCGGUGAAAUGCGCAAAUAUCAGGAGGAACACCGAUGGCGAAGGCAGGUGUCUGGGCAUUAACUGACGCUGAGGAGCGAAAGCAUGGGGAGCGAACAGG
rnacentral:rRNA from 1 species